rnacentral:tRNA from 1 species
AAGGCUGAACGGUAGAGCAUUUGUCUAGCAAGCAAGAGGUCCUGAGUUCAACUCCCAGU